AACUGUAACGUUAUUCAGCUAAAGGCUUCUAACUCAAAUCCGUCUACGAAGCAAUCAUGUCUGAUAAACCAAACCUGGAAGAGGUCACCAGCUUUGACAAAACCAAGCUGAAGAAGACUGAAACGCAGGAGAAAAACCCACUGCCAUCUAAAGAAACCAUUGAACAGGAGAAGCAGGCUGCCUCAUGAAGACACAAGCUGCCAUCAUGCACUGUGCACACUCCCUUCCCUGCAUUGCCUUCGUUUCAUUCACUUCUUUUAGCAGCAUAAUUUUUUAACCAAAAUGUAAAAAAAAAAAAAAAAAAAAAUUCUAAAGCUGCAUCACUGUCGGAUGGGAUGAGCCGACCCUCUAGCAACACCUAGAUGCGUCUGGACCACAACCCUUGUCCAUUCCAGCAUUGGGAAGAAAAGAGAAAGCUUCUACUUCCAGGAGCAUGUGGAAUGGAUUCAUCUGGUGCCCAUGGUGGGCUAUUUUGCAUUGGUUUCAACUAUGCCAUUGGACAAGGGGGCGUGGCCUAGUGGAUAUCCCCAAAUAUUCAUCAUCCGAUUGAGGCGUGGCUUUUUGUUGACAAGUGACCAGCUCACAAAGUUAUGGCAUUGUAUUUUUUAUUUCAAAUUAUAGGAUAAACUGCACAAUCUUGGAUUUUUAUGUUGGUAAUGAUUAACACCUUCUUGUUAGUGCUGCUUCAGUAAAAUGCUUUUUUAUUGCUAAGAAAGGAGGAGGAAAAAAAGAAAAAUCAGUCUAGAUGUGAAAACACUUCUAAGGCCCGGGUGUUGAUUUUGAAUUGAUUGUGCCCUUUUUAUCGAUGUGGUUUUGGGGUUGCUUUAUGUUGCACCCUGUCUUGGUUGUCUUAUGGCGGUUAUCAUUGUUCAAAAUGUAAAUUCAAUGUGAACGCUUUCAGCUGUAGAUCAAAUUUCUUUCUUGGAUUAUGUAAAAAUUAAAAAGAAACUCAGCAACCAUGUUAUAUUGCCACAAACCAUUUAUCGAUAAUGGAACAUUGAAACUGUUGUAAUAAAAAACAGGAUUUAUCAGUA